AGUGAACGCUGGCGGUAGGCCUAACACAUGCAAGUCGAACGGCAGCACAGUAAGAGCUUGCUCUUACGGGUGGCGAGUGGCGGACGGGUGAGGAAUACAUCGGAAUCUACCUUUUCGUGGGGGAUAACGUAGGGAAACUUACGCUAAUACCGCAUACGACCUACGGGUGAAAGCAGGGGAUCUUCGGACCUUGCGCGAUUGAAUGAGCCGAUGUCGGUUUAGCUAGUUGGCGGGGUAAAGGCCCACCAAGGCGACGAUCCGUAGCUGGUCUGAGAGGAUGAUCAGCCACACUGGAACUGAGACACGGUCCAGACUCCUACGGGAGGCAGCAGUGGGGAAUAUUGGACAAUGGGCGCAAGCCUGAUCCAGCCAUACCGCGUGGGUGAAGAAGGCCUUCGGGUUGUAAAGCCCUUUUGUUGGGAAAGAAAAGCAGCAGGUUAAUACCCCGCUGUUCUGACGGUACCCAAAGAAUAAGCACCGGCUAACUUCGUG
rnacentral:rRNA from 1 species